rnacentral:pre_miRNA from 1 species
UAACACUACACACUAAAUAUAACACUAAAUAUAACACUAAAUAGUAAUUAGUAAGUGUUAUUUGUUGGGGUAGUUUAAAGUA